rnacentral:rRNA from 1 species
UUGAUAUCCUAAGAACCUUAUAGAGAUAAGAGGGUGCUAGCUUGCUAGAACUUAGAGACAGGUGCUGCACGGCUGUCGUCAGCUCGUGUCGUGAGAUGUUGGGUUAAGUCCCGCAACGAGCGCAACCCACGUAUUUAGUUGCUAACGGUUCGGCCGAGCACUCUAAAUAGACUGCCUUCGUAAGGAGGAGGAAGGUGUGGACGACGUCAAGUCAUCAUGGCCCUUAUGCCCAGGGCGACACACGUGCUACAAUGGCAUAUACAAUGAGACGCAAUACCGC